CCGGUUUCUAGGAAAUUUGUUAUAGUUCUAACGACGACAGAUCAAUUUGAAAUUCCCAUCAGCCCGCACAGAGCAAAUUGUAAAAAAAAGCAGUGAAAAUAUAAAAUUAUCACUUUGUGGCCAAGCAGCUCAAAGACCUGAUGAUACCCGCGUUAUUUUUAUUACCAGAGGAGCAUUGCCAAAAUAAUAUUAAUGAUGGUAGCUACACACUAUUUCUGGCCUAUCCACCGCUGGGUAGAUAUGAAGUUGAAUUAACACCAAUUUAAGGGGGGCUCACCGCAACCGAUGUAUUCACAUCGACAUUAAAUUGACAGAAACGUGGACUAGCAUUAAAAAACGAGGGCGACGAUUGAAAUUGGUUCCUGAAAACACCAGUACAGUGAGAGGUGAGUUAAGGUCUUCGACAGUCUCAAAACCUCGAGUGUUUUUCGCUAGGAGCAUGAAUCUUGACGACUCAUCCCAAAACCUUGAUCGGUAAUUUACUGAUCGGGAUUCCAAUCUAUGUAAAUGUAUACUAAGUAUCGUAAUAUAGCGCUCGUUUUGUUCAUUUUAUAUACAUAUUAAACAAUAUUAAUAUAAUUAUGGAACGUGUUUGCGAUAUUAGUAACUGUACGUGUAAUAUUAUGAAAAAAAAAAUAAAAUGUAAGAUGAAAAGUUGA